rnacentral:rRNA from 1 species
UUUUGCGCAAUGCUCGUAAGAGUGACGCAGCGACGCCGCGUGAAUGACGAAGGCCUUCGGGUCGUAAAGUUCUUUCGACAGGGAAGAAAAUGCCUAUAAGUAACUGUGUAUGUAUUGACGGUACCUGUAUAAGCAGCCCCGGCUAACUCCGUGCCAGCAGCCGCGGUAAUACGGAGGGGGCGAGCGUUGUUCGGAGUGACUGGGCGUAAAGAGCACGUAGGCGGUGUUGUAAGUCAUUAGUCAAAGACUAGAGCUCAACUUUAGUAAGGCUAGUGAUACUAUAAUACUAGAGUAUCAGAGAGGAUUGCAGAAUUCCUGGUGUAGCGGUAAAAUGCGUAGAUAUCAGGAGGAAUACCGUUAGCGAAGGCGGCAAUCUGGCUGGAAACUGACGCUGAGGUGCGAAAGCGUGGGUAGCAAACAGGA